rnacentral:rRNA from 1 species
UACGAAGGGGGCUAGCGUUGUUCGGAAUCACUGGGCGUAAAGGGUGCGUAGGCGGGUCUUUAAGUCAGGGGUGAAAUCCUGGAGCUCAACUCCAGAACUGCCUUUGAUACUGAAGAUCUUGAGUUCGGGAGAGGUGAGUGGAACUGCGAGUGUAGAGGUGAAAUUCGUAGAUAUUCGCAAGAACACCAGUGGCGAAGGCGGCUCACUGGCCCGAUACUGACGCUGAGGUGCGAAAGCGUGGGGAGCAAACAGG